CAAGCCGCGGUAAUUCCAGCUCCAAUAGCGUAUAUUAAAGUUGUUGCAGUUAAAAAGCUCGUAGUUGAAUUUCGGGAUUGACGUGAUGGUCAUGCCUUAAGGGGUAUGAACUGUUACUGUUGAUUUCUCACCUUCUGGAGAAACUUGAUGUCCUUUAUUGGGUGUCUUGCGGAUCCAGGACCUUUACCUUGAAAAAAUUAGAGUGUUUAAAGCAGGCAUUUUUGCUCGACUACAUUAGCAUGGAAUAAUAGAAUAGGACGGCAUGGUUCUAUUUUGUUGGUUUCUAGGAUCACCAUAAUGAUUAAUAGGGAUAGUUGGGGGCAUUAGUAUUCAAUUGUCAGAGGUGAAAUUCUUGGAUUUAUUGAAGACUAACUACUGCGAAAGCAUUUGCCAAGGAUGUUUUCAUUAAUCAAGAACGAAAGUUAGGGGAUCGAAGACGAUCAGAUACCGUCGUAGUCUUAACCAUAAACUAUGCCGACUAGGAAUCAGACGAUGUUAAUUUUUUAAUGACUCGUUUGGCACCUUACG
rnacentral:rRNA from 1 species